GAGGGUAGAGCUCAGUGGUAGAGCACGUGCUUAGCAUGCAUGGGGUCCUGAGUUCAAUCCCCAGGACCUCCA
rnacentral:tRNA from 1 species